ACAAUCAAGAGGGAAAGAGGGGAAGCAGAAAGAGACGGAGACCUGCUAUCUUGGCCAACGAUCCCGUGAAGAGGGAACGGCGGUCUACGCAGGGAAUUCAGCUUCCUAUCAAGCCUAGCAGGUGCUGGGCUUCGUUGCUGUUUCUGGCAGAGUCCUGCUUCUCGCGCCCGCUGCACUGGGUUUGGCGUCUCUGCUGUUCGCUGAGAUCUGCACACUCCAGGAGCCAUAGGGAGGACGCCAGGACAGCCCCGAAGACGAGAAUGCCUCGCUCCUCCUAGGACGGGAGGAAAAUCCCACAAAUCCUGUCUACUCCAAGCAGCCGCGCCCCUCGGGAGACCACCCCAGUUGGAGGGGCCCACUCCAGCCACCGCUACACCGGGACGCGCUCCUCCUCCCCCUGUGCCCGCCCCUUCUCGUGAGGGACCACCAGGAGGCCCCUCGAUUCCCCAGCAAAACACAGGUUUUGGAGCCAGAGUUUCUGAGUUUGAAUGUUUGGUCUGCUACUGACCAACUCUAUGGGCUUGGG
rnacentral:lncRNA from 1 species